rnacentral:snRNA from 1 species
AGUGUGAAUCCUGUAAAUCC